CCUACGGGUGGCUGCAGUGAGGAAUAUUUGUCAAUGGGCGCGAGCCUGAACCAGCCAAGUCGCGUGAAGGAUGACUGCCCUUCGGGUUGUAAACCUCUUUUAUAAAGGAACAAAGUGAGGCACGUGUGCCACUUUGUAAGUACUUUACGAACACGGAUCGGCUAACUCCGUGCCAGCAGCCGCGGUAAUACGGAGGCUGCGAGCGUUAUCCGGAUUUAUUGGGUGUAAAUGUCGCGUAGAUGGGUUGUUAAGUCAGUUGUGAAAGUUUGGGGCUCAACCGUAGAAUUGCAGUUGAUACUGGCAGUCUUGAGUACAGGUGAGGUAGGCGGAAUUCGUGGUGUAGCGGUGAAAUGCGUAGAUAUCACGAAGAACUCCGAUUGCGAAGGCAGCUUACUAGACUGCCACUGACGUUGAUGCACGAAAGUGUGGGUAGCGAACAGGAUUAGAUACCCCUGUAGUC
rnacentral:rRNA from 1 species